GAUGAACGCUGGCGGCGUGCUUAACACAUGCAAGUCGAACGAAGCACCUCUCCCGAAGGUUGACACAGCUUGCUGUAGAUUGAUUCAUUUGAGGUGACUGAGUGGCGGACGGGUGAGUAACGCUUGGGUAACCUGCCUCAUAGAGGGGGACAACAGUUGGAAACGACUGCUAAUACCGCAUAGUAAGAAGAAUUCGCAUGUUUUAUUCUUGAAAGAUUUAUCGCUAUGAGAUGGACCCGCGUCUGAUUAGCUAGUUGGUAAGGUAACGGCUUACCAAGGCGACGAUCAGUAGCCGGCUUGAGAGAGUGAACGGCCACACUGGGACUGAGACACGGCCCAAACUCCUACGGGAGGCAGCAGUGGGGAAUAUUGCACAAUGGGGGAAACCCUGAUGCAGCGACGCCGCGUGAGUGAAGAAGUAUUUCGGUAUGUAAAGCUCUAUCAGCAGGGAAGAUAAUGACGGUACCUGACUAAGAAGCCCCGGCUAACUACGUG
rnacentral:rRNA from 1 species